UACGUAGGGGGCAAGCGUUAUCCGGAUUUACUGGGUGUAAAGGGAGCGCAGACGGCUUUGUAAGUCUGAAGUGAAAUGCCGCAGCUCAACUGCGGAAUUGCUUUGGAAACUAUGGAGCUAGAGUGUCGGAGGGGUAAGCGGAAUUCCUAGUGUAGCGGUGAAAUGCGUAGAUAUUAGGAAGAACACCGGUGGCGAAGGCGGCUUACUGGACGAUCACUGACGUUGAGGCUCGAAAGCGUGGGGAG
rnacentral:rRNA from 1 species